UACGUAGGGCGCAAGCGUUGUCCGGAAUUAUUGGGCGUAAAGAGCUCGUAGGCGGUCUGUCGCGUCGAAUGUGAAAUCCCGGGGCUCAACCCCGGGUCUGCAUUCGAUACGGGCAGACUAGAGUUCGGUAGGGGAGUCUGGAAUUCCUGGUGUAGCGGUGAAAUGCGCAGAUAUCAGGAGGAACACCGGUGGCGAAGGCGGGACUCUGGGCCGAUACUGACGCUGAGGAGCGAAAGCGUGGGGAGCAAACAGG
rnacentral:rRNA from 1 species